UCUGCGCGCGCUUGGCGCGCUUUUGUGCGUGUCGAAAGCGUAUAACGUGCGCGAUAUUCGCGCGAGCGCAGUUUGACUUGAGCAAUCGUGGGCUUGGACUCCGUGACAUUUGCUUUCGUCAUAUGCGAGUUAGGGGCUUGCCGACAGGUAAACCGCCGCUGUACUUAGAUGAGUUGAGAUUUACACAUCAAUGCCAGCUCACAAAGCAUCUAAUACGGCAAUCAGCCAGCCACCUCCGCAGAUGGAGAAUUCUGCAGUUUCCAAUCAUACUGUUUCUGUUGUCCUUGGCAGAGAUGUUGAUUGUACACAGAGGGAAUAUAUUGUAGGACAAUAAAAAUAACUUGUCAUGACAA
rnacentral:lncRNA from 1 species